rnacentral:rRNA from 1 species
AGGUCAGGCGGGAUUACCCGCUGAGUUAA